GACGAACGCUGGCGGCGUGCCUAAUACAUGCAAGUAGAACGCUGAAGAGAGGAGCUUGCUCUUCUUGGAUGAGUUGCGAACGGGUGAGUAACGCGUAGGUAACCUGCCUUGUAGCGGGGGAUAACUAUUGGAAGCGAUAGCUAAUACCGCAUAACAAUGGAUGACACAUGUCAUUUAUUUGAAAGGGGCAAUUGCUCCACUACAAGAUGGACCUGCGUUGUAUUAGCUAGUAGGUGAGGUAAUGGCUCACCUAGGCGACGAUACAUAGCCGACCUGAGAGGGUGAUCGGCCACACUGGGACUGAGACACGGCCCAGACUCCUACGGGAGGCAGCAGUAGGGAAUCUUCGGCAAUGGGGGCAACCCUGACCGAGCAACGCCGCGUGAGUGAAGAAGGGUUUCGGAUCGUAAAGCUCUGUUGUAAGUCAAGAACGGGUGUGAGAGUGGAAAGUUCACACUGUGACGGUAGCUUACCAGAAAGGGACGGCUAACUACGUG
rnacentral:rRNA from 1 species